rnacentral:lncRNA from 1 species
GGUAGGUGCUUAAUAAACAUUAUGAAGUGCAUGAACAAAUGAAUAGCCCCUGAUGGACAGACAUGCUUGAGAAACACUAUUUUUCACAUUCCUAUCUACACUCAAGAUUUUACCUAUGAUAGCAGGCUGAAGAUUCCCAGGAUCUUACAUCCUAGCAGAAAAAGUUUGUUGACUCCUGCUUUAGAUCCACGGUUUCAAUGAUCACAUGUCAAUUUUGCUACCUAGUCACUGGGUCAUCAAAGCACAUAGUUUCUUUCAUCCAUGAAAUGGAAAGCCCCCACUGGGAGACCAGUACUCAGGAAAACGUUCUUCAUAUUUUUCCCAGAACCCACCAGCAUCACAGUCAUCUGGAGUAAUUGUUUAAAAAUGCAGAUUUCUAGGCCCACCUAAGACCUCCUGAAUCAAACCUCCUGAGGUUAGGGCCCAGGAACAUGGAAUGUAUGAGCUCCCUCGGUGAUUCCUAUGCACAGUAAAGUUUGAGAACUAUCGCUGUGAUUCUGCACUUCUCAAACUGGGAAAUGAAGCAUUUCCCAAAGGAAAACAUAGGUCCCUGUUGGUACCCUCCAGUUGUGAUAUUUUAUGUUCAUUUUAACGAAUACAAGAAAUUGAACAUGAUCUGGAAUUUAACAUUUCAUGGAUACUACAGCUUA